rnacentral:rRNA from 1 species
AUUGAACGCUGGCGGCAUGCUUUACACAUGCAAGUCGAACGGUAACAGGCCUUCGGGUGCUGACGAGUGGCGAACGGGGGAGUAAUGCAUCGGAACGUGCCCAGAGGUGGGGGAUAACGCAGCGAAAGCUGUGCUAAUACCGCAUGUGAUCUGAGGAUGAAAGCGGGGGACCAGGCAGCAAUGUUUGGCCUCGCGCCUUUGGAGCGGCCGAUGUCAGAUUAGGUAGUUGGUGGGGUAAAGGCCUACCAAGCCGACGAUCUGUAGCUGGUCUGAGAGGACGACCAGCCACACUGGAACUGAGACACGGCCCAGACUCCUACGGGAGGCAGCAGUGGGGAAUUUUGGACAAUGGGCGCAAGCCUGAUCCAGCAAUGCCGCGUGCGGGAAGAAGGCCUUCGGGUUGUAAACCGCUUUUGUACGGAACGAAAAGGCUCUGGCUAAUACCUGGGGCUGAUGACGGUACCGUAAGAAUAAGCACCGGCUAACUACGUG